AAACCAAACAAAAGAAACACUCUCCACGAACAGCUCGAGCAGCGUUAGGCAAGUUUCCACUCGCCAUAGCAGCUGCAAAGUUGUCCGAUCGACUGGCAUUUUUCGCUAAAAUUCACAUAUUUAAGCCCGAAAUUAUGAGUGUGCCGAACCUUCUGCCGCUGCCGCCCUGCCUCCGAAAACAGCCCACCCAAACAAACAGCAAAGAGUCUCGGUCCUUUUCCACGAAACCCGAGCAGAGCCGGAGCAUCGGCAGCCGCGGAGCGGUCCUUAGCUUUUGUCUCCGUACUCUGCCUUUCCCCUUUCUCUCCUUCCAAACUUUUGGGCGCUCUCUCUCUGAAGUGUAUUUAUAGACCUAGAGCCCACGGCUGUAUUUUUCUUUGUGCCUCCUUUGGCUUGGGCUUAAGUCACUGGCAGCGAAAAUAAAAAGGAGGCAUGCAAGCGGGCAUGCAUGCAAGAGGACAGAGGGGAAAAGAGCUGGAAGUCCCACAGACGGGACGCCGAGGCAGGCUGGGGCAGGGGCCGGGGCUGCAGAACCACUGCUCCUGUCGGACGAGAGAGAGCGACGACUGUGAAAGUCUCUAACAUGGCAGCAAAUACCUCAAUAACGUGGAUAGUGUAUUUAUCAUGUCAUUAAGUAUUUCCUUAUUGACGUGCACUAUACUCAGCCUCUAAUCUCCGAAAUGGAUGUCUAAGCAGUUUCUGACAUCUUUAGAGAGCCUGUCCUGCAGGAUCUUCAGUUACCGCCAAGAGUAUCUUCAUGUAUCCUCCGUGGCCAGGGGCCAGAGACUGAACGAAGUCAACUGAAUAAAAUAAGUGCAAACUAGUCUUCUCUGCACAGAGACGUUGAAAUAUGUGUAAGGAGAACGCCUAGAAAAGACGAAAACCCGAGUGUCGGCGCUACAAAUCAUUAGUCUCAGCAACAGAACACGAUCAUUACGCACGACAGAAAGAGGCAAAAUCCUGCUCGUACAGUGAUUAUUGUUAUGACUAGAAGCAAUAACUGCUUUGUUAUAAAAGUAGUGUUUGUUAUGAAGAAACCGAGUGAACAGCCAUCUACAUAAACAUUCCUCGUGUCUAACAA